UACGUAGGGUGCAAGCGUUGUCCGGAAUUAUUGGGCGUAAAGGGCUCGUAGGCGGUUUGUCGCGUCUGCCGUGAAAGUCCGGGGCUCAACUCCGGAUCUGCGGUGGGUACGGGCAGACUAGAGUGAUGUAGGGGAGACUGGAAUUCCUGGUGUAGCGGUGGAAUGCGCAGAUAUCAGGAGGAACACCGGUGGCGAAGGCGGGUCUCUGGGCAGUAACUGACGCUGAGGAGCGAAAGCGUGGGGAGCGAACAGG
rnacentral:rRNA from 1 species